rnacentral:rRNA from 1 species
AGAGUUUGAUCCUGGCUCAGGACGAACGCUUGCGGCGUGCCUAAUGUAUGCAAGUCGCGCGGUGAACCACCUUCGGGUGGGGAUCAGCGGCGAACGGUUGAGUAACACGUCGGCAACCUGCCCCGAAGUGGGGGAUAACUCAUCGAAAGGUGGGCUAAUACCGCAUAUGGAAGCGAGGCUCCUGCCUCGUUCUCCAAAGCAGCAAUGCGCUUCGGGAUGGGCCGGCGGCCUAUCAGCUUGUUGGUGGGGUAACGGCCUACCAAGGCGGCGACGGGUAGCUGGUCUGAGAGGAUGGUCAGCCAGACAGGGACUGAGACACGGCCCUGACUCCUUUGGGGGGCAGCAAUGAGGAAUAUUGCGCAAUGGGGGCAACCCUGACGCAGCGACGCCGCGUGGGUGAUGAAGUCCUUCGGGAUGUAAAGCCCUUUUGCCGGGGACGAGAAUGGACGGUACCCGGCGAAUAAGCCCCGGCUAACUCCGUGCCAGCAGCCGCGGUAAUACGGAGGGGGCGAGCGUUGUCCGGAUUUACUGGGCGUAAAGCGCGUGUAGGUGGCCGCAUAAGUCGGGUGUGAAAGCCCGGGGCUCAACCCCGGGAUGCCGCCCGAGACUGCGCGGCUUGAGGACGGAAGAGGGGAGUGGAAUUCCUGGUGUAGCGGUGAAAUGCGUAGAGAUCAGGAGGAACACCCGUGGCGAAGGCGGCUCCCUGGUCCGUCCCUGACGCUGAGACGCGAAAGCGUGGGGAGCGAACGGGAUUAGAUACCCCGGUAGUCCACGCCGUAAACGAUGGUCACUAGUGUGCGCGGUAUCGACCCCGCGCGUGCCGUCGCUAACGCAAUAAGUGACCCGCCUGGGGAGUACGGGCGCAAGGUGAAACUCAAAAUGAAUUGACGG